rnacentral:rRNA from 1 species
GGCCAGACUCCUACGGGAGGCAGCAGUGAGGAAUAUUGGUCAAUGGGCGAGAGCCUGAACCAGCCAAGUCGCGUGAGGGGGGACGGCCCUACGGGUUGGAAACCUCUUUUGCCGGGGGACAAACGGCGGCACGCGUGCCGUCCUGAGGGUACCCGGAGAAAAAGCAUCGGCUAACUCCGUGCCAGCAGCCGCGGUAAUACGGAGGAUGCGAGCGUUAUCCGGAUUUAUUGGGUUUAAAGGGUGCGUAGGCGGACGCUUAAGUCAGCGGUAAAAUGGCGGGGCUCAACCUCGGCGAGCCGUUGAAACUGGGUGCCUUGAGUGGGCGAGAAGUACGCGGAAUGCGUGGUGUAGCGGUGAAAUGCAUAGAUAUCACGCAGAACUCCGAUUGCGAAGGCAGCGCACCGGCGCCCUACUGACGCUCAGGCACGAAAGCGUGGGUAUCGAACAGGAUUAGAUACCCUCGUAU